GAGCUUUGCAACUUGAUGAAAAGAAGAGGAUGACAGCUGCCGAUCUUCAUUCGUUUCUUGUGAAGAUAGCUAUUCGGAUGACUUUGAAUCAUUAUCGGAAAUUGAAGACGAGGAUGAUUUAGAAGAGACGCUGACGGCAACAGCCAUCCAAAAUUUGAAUAUUCAGCAGUCAGAAACCACAACUACGUCAUCAAUUCAUGCGGACAACCCCUAGAAACCUUUGCAAGAGCUUCUGGAAAAAGACAACUAUAAGCAAUAUUUUCUCAAAGGCCAUUAGAUCCUUUUAUAAUAAAUAACCACUACGCAAUAUUAUUGGGAUAUUUUGGAUCCAAUUUUCCCAUUGUUACCAUGGACAUUCU